rnacentral:rRNA from 1 species
GAUGAACGCUGGCGGCGUGCCUAAUACAUGCAAGUCGAGCGAACAGAUAAGGAGCUUGCUCCUUUGACGUUAGCGGCGGACGGGUGAGUAACACGUGGGUAACCUACCUAUAAGACUGGAAUAACUCCGGGAAACCGGGGCUAAUGCCGGAUAACAUUUAGAACCGCAUGGUUCUAAAGUGAAAGAUGGUUUUGCUAUCACUUAUAGAUGGACCCGCGCCGUAUUAGCUAGUUGGUAAGGUAACGGCUUACCAAGGCAACGAUACGUAGCCGACCUGAGAGGGUGAUCGGCCCCACUGGAACUGAGACACGGUCCAGACUCCUACGGGAGGCAGCAGUAGGGAAUCUUCCGCAAUGGGCGAAAGCCUGACGGAGCAACGCCGCGUGAGUGAUGAAGGUCUUCGGAUCGUAAAACUCUGUUAUUAGGGAAGAACAAAUGUGUAAGUAACUGUGCACGUCUUGACGGUACCUAAUCAGAAAGCCACGGCUAACUACGU